AUUGAACGCUGGCGGCAGGCCUAACACAUGCAAGUCGAGCGGAUGAAGGGAGCUUGCUCCUGGAUUCAGCGGCGGACGGGUGAGUAAUGCCUAGGAAUCUGCCUGGUAGUGGGGGAUAACGUCCGGAAACGGGCGCUAAUACCGCAUACGUCCUGAGGGAGAAAGUGGGGGAUCUUCGGACCUCACGCUAUCAGAUGAGCCUAGGUCGGAUUAGCUAGUUGGUGGGGUAAAGGCCUACCAAGGCGACGAUCCGUAACUGGUCUGAGAGGAUGAUCAGUCACACUGGCAGUGAGACACGGUCCAGACUCCUACGGGAGGACGCAGUGGGGAAUAUUGGACGAUGGGCGAGAGCCUGAUCCAGCCAUGCCGCGUGUGUGAAGAAGGUCUUCGGAUUGUAAAGCAAUUUAAGUUGGGAGGAAGGGCAGUAAGUUAAUACCUUGCUGUUUUGACGUUACCAACAGAAUAAGCACCGGCUAACUUCGUG
rnacentral:rRNA from 1 species